CGUUCUGCCCUGCGCAACGGCGACCUGCGAACCAUGUCAGGCGGGGAACCGAGCAGCAUUAAGCGGGAUUCGCAGUGUGCCGCAGUCAGCAGGCCGCAG
rnacentral:SRP_RNA from 1 species